CCUCGGAGAGUUUGAUCCUGGCUCAGGACGAACGCUGGCGGCGUGCCUAAUACAUGCAAGUCGAGCGGACAGAAGGGAGCUUGCUCCCCGAUGUUAGCGGCGGACGGGUGAGUAACACGUGGGUAACCUGCCUGUAAGACUGGGAUAACUCCGGGAAACCGGAGCUAAUACCGGAUAGUUCCUUGAACCGCAUGGUUCAAGGAUGAAAGACGGUUUCGGCUGUCACUUG
rnacentral:rRNA from 1 species